CAUUUGUAGAACAAAGUGUGUCUUGCAUCUCUCUGGAGGAAGGCUCCUCUGAAAGGCACUGUUUGUGACCCCCUGUGACAGUUGUCUUGGUAUACAAGGAAAAUAUGUCUAGUAAGAAAGAUGAAACAAAGAAAGAGUUGGGAUGUCGAGAAACUGCAAUUCCUAUUAAGAACACUUGACUGUUUACUCAGCACGAGAACUUCAGCCCCAGCCUGCAUCAAUCUAAAUGCGUUUCGAGACGUCAGGCCCCCGAAAAGUGCAGACGGAAAUAAGGAAGCUGACCCUGAAGAAAUAAUGGAGGCCAAGUGGGAGUGUGUACACAGAGGCCCUCGCUAGAGGAUUUGACUCUCCAGGAGGUGAAAGUGAGAAAAAGACACACAUCACCUGCUGUACUUCAGUUUGGAGCUUGGUUCUUAAGAUUGGUUUUCAGUGAACUGAAUACUAAAAAGAUAUUAUAGAGAGAAACAACCCGCCUAGCUGAUUGUUUCUUCCCAAAAUGGAUGUGAUGAUGAG